rnacentral:rRNA from 1 species
GCGCAUCACGCUGGCGGCGUGCCUAAUACAUGCAAGUCGAACGCGCAGCGAGAGGUGCUUGCACCUUUCAAGCGAGUGGCGAACGGGUGAGUAACACGUGGAUAACCUGCCUCAAGGCUGGGGAUAACAUUUGGAAACAGAUGCUAAUACCGAAUAAAACUUAGUAUCGCAUGAUAUCAAGUUAAAAGGCGCUACGGCGUCACCUAGAGAUGGAUCCGCGGUGCAUUAGUUAGUUGGUGGGGUAAAGGCUUACCAAGACGAUGAUGCAUAGCCGAGUUGAGAGACUGAUCGGCCACAUUGGGACUGAGACACGGCCCAAACUCCUACGGGAGGCUGCAGUAGGGAAUCUUCCACAAUGGGCGCAAGCCUGAUGGAGCAACGCCGCGUGUGUGAUGAAGGCUUUCGGGUCGUAAAGCACUGUUGUAUGGGAAGAAAUGCUAAAAUAGGGAAUGAUUUUAGUUUGACGGUACCAUACCAGAAAGGGACGGCUAAAUACGUGCCAGCAGCCGCGGUAAUACGUAUGUCCCGAGCGUUAUCCGGAUUUAUUGGGCGUAAAGCGAGCGCAGACGGUUGAUUAAGUCUGAUGUGAAAGCCCGGAGCUCAACUCCGGAAUGGCAUUGGAAACUGGUUAACUUGAGUGUUGUAGAGGUAAGUGGAACUCCAUGUGUAGCGGUGGAAUGCGUAGAUAUAUGGAAGAACACCAGUGGCGAAGGCGGCUUACUGGACAACAACUGACGUUGAGGCUCGAAAGUGUGGGUAGCAAACAAGAUUAGAUACCCUGGUAGUCCACACCGUAAACGAUGAAUACUAGGUGUUAGGAGGUUUCCGCCUCUUAGUGCCGAAGCUAACGCAUUAAGUAUUCCGCCUGGGGAGUACGACCGCAAGGUUGAAACUCAAAGGAAUUGACGGGGACCCGCACAAGCGGUGGAGCAUGUGGUUUAUUCGAGCACGCGAGACUUACCAGGUCUUGACAUCCUUUGAAGCUUUAGAGAUAGAGUGUUCUCUUCGGAGACAAGUGACAGUG